ensembl:lncRNA
CAGACAAAGAAGGGAAUUACGGUGCUGGCUGGGGUGACUGAUCCUCACUUCCAAGGAGAAAUUGGACUGCUACUCCACAGUGGAGUGGUAAAGCUGCUGGCUGUACAUUUUAAAACAACUCCUAAUGCGUUGCCAUGCAACUCUAGCCCUGUCACUAAACACGAAGAGCCUAAAACUGCAGACUGACAGAGACAGCUUCCUGAGAAGCAGGAGAUAUAGCAGAUAUAGCAGAAACAGCUAUAUCCUGAGAAGUUCUUCCAAGUAGCCACAACUUUGAUGCUAAGAGAGAAAGAAGAAGAUGCUCUGCUACAUUUCUCUAUUGGAUGGCAUUGCUGAACAUCAAGCAUCCAUUGGCAUAUACUACAAAUGAGCCAUUUUCCACAUGAGUUCCUAUGGAUAAGCCCUCCACGGAACAUGUGCAACCACAGCAGACAUCUUGUUUGACACUGAGUUAGCUCCUGAUGUCUGUGCACUAUGUUUGAAGGAGGGGCACUUCCUAUCUUCACCAAGGAAGAUAUGCAGAUGGAAAAUUAGCACAUGAAAAGAUGCUCAACACCAUUAGCCAUUAGGGACAUGCAAACGAAAGCCACAAUAAUACAUCAGUACACACUUAUUAGAUUGGUUAAAAUUAAAAGUAGUGGCAACGCCAAACGCCAGUAAGAACAUGGAGGAAGCGAAUCGUUAGUCCAUUGCUGGCAGGAGUGCAAAAUGGUACAGUUGUUCUGGAAGAUAGUUUAGCAGCUUCUUUUUCCCCCAGUUUUACUGAGAUAUAAUUGACAUAUGACAUUGUAUUGUUUAAGGUGUACAACAUAUUGAGUUGAUAUGUGUGUUUAUUGCAAAAUGAUUGCCACAGUAAAUUCAGUUAACAUCCAUCACCUCUUACAGAUACAGUUUUCUUUCCUUAUGAUGAGAACUUAAGGUUUACUCUCUUAGCAAAUUUUAAAUAUAAAGUACAGUAAAAAAAACUUGUGUUCACACAUGUGCACGGAUGUUCAUAGCAUCUUUAUUCAAACAGUCAAAAACUGAAAGCAAU